rnacentral:rRNA from 1 species
GAUGAACGCUAGCGGCAGGCCUAAUACAUGCAAGUCGAACGGGAUCCAGAUCAAAGCUUGCUUUGGUCUGGUGAGAGUGGCGCACGGGUGCGUAACGCGUGAGCAACCUACCCUUGUCAGGGGGAUAGCCCGGCGAAAGUCGGAUUAAUACCGCAUGACAUCAUUGAGAGGCAUCUUUCGAUGAUCAAAGAUUUAUCGGACAAGGAUGGGCUCGCGUGACAUUAGCUAGUUGGUAAGGUAACGGCUUACCAAGGCUGCGAUGUCUAGGGGCUCUGAGAGGAGAAUCCCCCACACUGGUACUGAGACACGGACCAGACUCCUACGGGAGGCAGCAGUAAGGAAUAUUGAUCAAUGGACGGAAGUCUGAACCAGCCAUGCCGCGUGCAGGAAGACGGCCCUAUGGGUUGUAAACUGCUUUUAUACGGGAACAAACGUCGGUACGUGUACCGGUCUGAGUGUACCGUAAGAAUAAGGAUCGGCUAACUCCGUG